rnacentral:rRNA from 1 species
GAUGAACGCUGGCGGCGUGCUUAACACAUGCAAGUCGAACGGAGAGCCAUUGAAAGAGGAUUCGUCCAAUUGAUAUGGUUUCUUAGUGGCGGACGGGUGAGUAACGCGUGAGUAACCUGCCUUGGAGUGGGGAAUAACACAGAGAAAUUUGUGCUAAUACCGCAUGAUGCAGUUGGGUCGCAUGGCUCUGACUGCCAAAGAUUUAUCGCUCUGAGAUGGACUCGCGUCUGAUUAGCUGGUUGGCGGGGUAACGGCCCACCAAGGCGACGAUCAGUAGCCGGACUGAGAGGUUGGCCGGCCACAUUGGGACUGAGACACGGCCCAG